GGCCUUGAAAGUGUAAACAUGUCGAACUGCAAAUUCGAAGAAGCAGCUUCAAUUCUGCCGGGGCUU
rnacentral:tRNA from 6 species